AUGGCUCCUCACAAAGGAACCACGACUUGGGGGCUCCUGUUCUGGACUGGGCCCGACAGGCCCAAAAGCAUUGCAAAGGCCCAGUCCAAAUGGACUUACAAGGGCCACGCCGACCAAAGAGUACGACCGUGCCCGACGCGUAGUCGCUGGCUCGACAGUACACCUCCAGCUCGACAUGCUGUGGUCCAGCACCACAUUCUGAGGUCCAGCUCGACGUUACCUCGAGCACCCCAGCUAGGGCAGACUCAAUCCACUGUUCCCCCAACGAUACUCCGAAAAGACCGCGUCUCCGUCCGCCCGCACUUCACGCAGAACAUCCAGGAAGGGGACCACGUGCGGAUCCCCACUACGCACGUAGAACCUGGCAGUUCCUCCAUUGGGCCAAACCUGCCCGGCCCAAUGAAGGAACCUUGGCCCAGCGCUGGGGGCUAUAAAUACCCUCUGCUUCCAGAGGGUCAGGUAUUCAUCAUUCUAACCUUACACUUGCUAUUAUCUGCUCGUACUCCUACUUACUUCAGCAUCGGAGUGCCUUGCAGGUACCCCCCACUUCGUUCAAAAAGCUUUCUGCUCGGAGCCAGCCGUGACGGUCCAUUUCUGAUCAG